AAUCAACGCUGGCGGCGUGCCUCAGACAUGCAAGUCGAACGCGAAAGUCUCCUUCGGGGAGUAAGUAGAGUGGCGCACGGGUGGAGUAACACGUAGGUAAUCUACCUUUGGUAUGGGGAAGUAACAACCGGAAACGGUUGCUAAUACCGCAUAAUGCAGCGGCACCUAAUGGUGACAGUUGUUAAAGACGGGGGAGUCGUAAGACCUCGCGUCUGAAGAGGAGCCU
rnacentral:rRNA from 1 species